rnacentral:rRNA from 1 species
AGAUUGAACGCUGGCGGAAUGCUUUACACAUGCAAGUCGAACGGUAGAGGGGGCAACCCCUCGAGAGUGGCGAACGGGUGAGUAAUGUAUCGGAACGUGCCCAGUCGUGGGGGAUAACGUAGUGAAAAUUACGCUAAUACCGCAUACGAUCUAUGGAUGAAAGCGGGGGAUCGCAAGACCUCGCGCGAUUGGAGCGGCCGAUAUCAGAUUAGGUAGUUGGUGGGGUAAAGGCUCACCAAGCCAACGAUCUGUAGCUGGUCUGAGAGGACGACCAGCCACACUGGAACUGAGACACGGUCCAGACUCCUACGGGAGGCAGCAGUGGGGAAUUUUGGACAAUGGACGCAAGUCUGAUCCAGCCAUUCCGCGUGCAGGAUGAAGGCCCUCGGGUUGUAAAGCUCUUUUGUCAGGGAAGAAACAGCAGCUCUAACACAGUCUGCGAAUGACGGUACCUGAAGAAUAAGCACCGGCUAACUACGUG